GAUGAACGCUAGCUAUAGGCUUAACACAUGCAAGUCGAGGGGCGAGCGGGAUUGAAGCUUGCUUCAAUUGCCGGCGACCGGCGCACGGGUGAGUAACGCGUAUCCAACCUUCCGCUUACUCGGGGAUAGCCUUUCGAAAGAAAGAUUAAUACCCGAUGGUAUCUUAAGCACGCAUGAGAUUAAGAUUAAAGAUUUAUCGGUAAGCGAUGGGGAUGCGUUCCAUUAGGCAGUUGGCGGGGUAACGGCCCACCAAACCUACGAUGGAUAGGGGUUCUGAGAGGAAGGUCCCCCACAUUGGAACUGAGACACGGUCCAA
rnacentral:rRNA from 1 species